rnacentral:rRNA from 1 species
UACGUAGGGUGCAAGCGUUAAUCGGAAUUACUGGGCGUAAAGCGUGCGCAGGCGGUUUUGUAAGUUUGUCGUGAAAGCCCCGGGCUCAACCUGGGAAUUGCGACGAAGACUGCAAGGCUUGAAUCUGGCAGAGGGGGGGUAGAAUUCCACGUGUAGCAGUGAAAUGACGUAGAGAUGUGGAGGAACACCGAUGGCGAAGGCAGCCCC